GCCACUUCACAAAAAUCAGGAUUCACCAUUUAUAUGUCAAAUAGCCUUAUGAGCCAAAUAUGUACUCCAUGUUAGCUUCCUGAAAAUAAUCUCCGGUUCCAUAUUCUUUGAGAAGACGAUCAAAGAUGUUGGAAUUAGCAAAAACGGUGGCUGGUACUUGGAACCUACUACAGCUUCAGGACAAGGCCAAUGGGACUGUGAUCACUGCCAUCUACAUCUGGCAGAAUGUACGAGUCAUGCACCUUCUCAGAAAUGCAUUCCGAGACAAGGAAGUAGUCAAGCCGCCAUCCUUUAUUAGUUUUACGUCCACCAUGGCGGUAACCCCAAUAAGUAUAACCAACGACACCAGGAUGCUGCUUCCUGAAUGUAUCUACAAACCCCUUGUUUAGAAAGUUCGUUUCGAAAGACUGUCUUUCUUCUUCAGUAAAGCCUGCACUUCUUUUAUUUCCAGUAGGAUUAUAAAUAUCUAUCUCCUCGUGGGCACAAUUUAGAUCACCGGUCAAAACAACAGGUUUCGACUCCUCUAGCUCUUUCAUGUAACUGCCAAGAGAAGGAUCCCACUCUGUAAUUCUGUAUGUCAAUCGGCG
rnacentral:misc_RNA from 1 species